GCCAGCGUGGCGGAACUGGUAGACGCAGCGGACUCAAAAUCCGCCGGGGCAACCCAUGAGGGUUCGAGUCCCUCCGCUGGUA
rnacentral:tRNA from 1 species